rnacentral:rRNA from 1 species
GACGAACGCUGGCGGCGUGCCUAAUACAUGCAAGUCGAACGCUGAAGGAGGAGCUUGCUUCUCCGGAUGAGUUGCGAACGGGUGAGUAACGCGUAGGUAACCUGCCUGGUAGCGGGGGAUAACUAUUGGAAACGAUAGCUAAUACCGCAUAAGAGUAGAUGUCGCAUGACAUUUGCUUAAAAGGUGCAACUGCACCACUACCAGAUGGACCUGCGUUGUAUUAGCUAGUUGGUGAGGUAACGGCUCACCAAGGCAACGAUACAUAGCCGACCUGAGAGGGUGAUCGGCCACACUGGGACGGAGACACGGCCCAGACUCCUACGGGAGGCAGCAGUAGGGAAUCUUCGGCAAUGGAAGGAAGUCUGACCGAGAAACGCCGCGGGAGUGAAGAAGGGUUUCGGAUCGUAAAGCUCUGUUGUAAGAGAAGAACGAGUGUGAGAGUGGAAAGUUCACACUGUGACGGUAGCUGACCAGAAAGGGACGGCUAACUACGUG